AGCAGGUGAAAACAUUAACAUUACAGUCAAUGGGUACAGCAGGUGAGAAACACAUUAUCAUUACAGUCAAUGGGUACAGCAGGUGAGAAACACAUUAUCAUUACAGUCAAUGGGUACAGCAGGUGAGAAACACAUUAUCAUUACAGUCAAUGGGUACAGCAGGUGAGAAACACAUUAUCAUUACAGUCAAUGGGUACAGC